rnacentral:rRNA from 1 species
AACGAACGCUGGCGGCAGGCUUGACACAUGCAAGUCGAACGCCCCGCAAGGGGAGUGGCAGACGGGUGAGUAACGCGUGGGAAUCUACCCAUCUCUGCGGAAUAGCCCCGGGAAACUGGAAUUAAUACCGCAUACGCCCUACGGGGGAAAGAUUUAUCGGGGAUGGAUGAGCCCGCGUUGGAUUAGCUAGUUGGUGGGGUAAAGGCCUACCAAGGCGACGAUCCAUAGCUGGUCUGAGAGGAUGAUCAGCCACAUUGGGACUGAGACACGGCCCAAACUCCUACGGGAGGCAGCAGUGGGGAAUAUUGGACAAUGGGCGCAAGCCUGAUCCAGCCAUGCCGCGUGAGUGAUGAAGGCCUUAGGGUUGUAAAGCUCUUUCACCGGUGAAGAUAAUGACGGUAACCGGAGAAGAAGCCCCGGCUAACUUCGUGCCAGCCGCCGCAGUAA